rnacentral:rRNA from 1 species
CCGGCACGGGUGAGUAACGCGUAUGCAACUUACCUAUCAGAGGGGAUAACCCGGCGAAAGUCGGACUAAUGCCGCAUGAAGCAGGGGCCCCGCAUGGGGAUAUUUGCUAAAGAUUCAUCGCUGAUAGAUAGGCAUGCGUUCCAUUAGGCAGUUGGCGGGGUAACGGCCCACCAAACCGACGAUGGAUAGGGGUUCUGAGAGGAAGGUCCCCCACAUUGGUACUGAGACACGGACCAA